rnacentral:rRNA from 1 species
GAUGAACGCUGGCGGCGUGCCUAAUACAUGCAAGUCGAGCGAACAGACGAGGAGCUUGCUCCUCUGACGUUAGCGGCGGACGGGUGAGUAACACGUGGAUAACCUACUUAUAUGUCUGGGAUAACUUCGGGAAACCGGAGCUAAUACCGGAUAAUAUAUUCAACCGCAUGGUUCAAUAGUGAAAGACGGUUUUGCUGUCACUUAUAGAUGGUUCCGCGCCGCAUUAGCUAGUUGGUAAGGUAACGGCUUACCAAGGCGACGAUGCGUAGCCGACCUGAGAGGGUGAUCGGCCACACUGGAACUGAGACACGGUCCAGACUCCUACGGGAGGCAGCAGUAGGGAAUCUUCCGCAAUGGGCGAAAGCCUGACGGAGCAACGCCGCGUGAGUGAUGAAGGUCUUCGGAUCGUAAAACUCUGUUAUUAGGGAAGAACAAAUGUGUAAGUAACUAUGCACGUCUUGACGGUACCUAAUCAGAAAGCCACGGCUAACUACGUG